rnacentral:rRNA from 1 species
AUUGAACGCUGGCGGCAGGCCUAACACAUGCGAGUCGAGCGGAUGAAGGGAGCUUGCUCCUGGAUUCAGCGGCGGACGGGUGAGUAAUGCCUAGGAAUCUGCCUGGUAGUGGGGGAUAACGUCCGGAAACGGGCGCUAAUACCGCAUACGUCCUGAGGGAGAAAGUGGGGGAUCUUCGGACCUCACGCUAUCAGAUGAGCCUAGGUCGGAUUAGCUAGUUGGUGGGGUAAAGGCCUACCAAGGCGACGAUCCGUAACUGGUCUGAGAGGAUGAUCAGUCACACUGGAACUGAGACACGGUCCAGACUCCUACGGGAGGCAGCAGUGGGGAAUAUUGGACAAUGGGCGAAAGCCUGAUCCAGCCAUGCCGCGUGUGUGAAGAAGGUCUUCGGAUUGUAAAGCACUUUAAGUUGGGAGGAAGGGCAGUAAGUUAAUACCUUGCUGUUUUGACGUUACCAACAGAAGAAGCACCGGCUAACUUCG